UUGCCAGACUCCUACGGGAGGCAGCAGUGGGGGAUAUUGCACAAUGGGGGAAACCCUGAUGCAGCGACGCCGCGUGGGUGAAGAAGCGCCUCGGCGCGUAAAGCCCUGUCAGCAGGGAAGAAAAUGACGGUACCUGAAGAAGAAGCCCCGACUAACUACGUGCCAGCAGCCGCGGUAAUACGUAGGGGGCAAGCGUUAUCCGGAUUUACUGGGUGUAAAGGGGGCGCAGACGGCGAUGCAAGCCAGGAGUGAAAGCCCGGGGCCCAACCCCGGGACUGCUCUUGGAACUGCGUGGCUGGAGUGCAGGAGGGGCAGGCGGAAUUCCUGGUGUAGCGGUGAAAUGCGUAGAUAUCUGGAGGAACAUCAGUGGCGAAGGCGACUAUCUGGCACAUAACUGACGCUGAGGAGCGAAAGCGUGGGUAGCAAACAGGAUUAGAUACCCCAGUAAGG
rnacentral:rRNA from 1 species